ACGGAAGGCAGCAGCUAAGAAUAUUCCGCAAUGGACGAAAGUCUGACGGAGCGACGCCGCGUGGAUGAAGAAGGCCGGAAGGUUGUAAAAUCCUUUUAAACAGGAAGAAUAAGUACUGAAGGGAAUGUCAGUAUGGUGACGGUACUGUUUGAAUAAGCAACGGCUAAUUACGUGCCAGCAGCCGCGGUAACACGUAAGUUGCGAGCGUUGUUCGGAAUUAUUGGGCGUAAAGGGUAUGUAGGCGGUUCUGAAAGCUUGGUGUGAAAGGCAGAGGCUUAACCUCUGGACUGCAUUGAGAACUGCAGGACUAGAGUGACUGAGGGGCAGGCAGAAUUCCAGGUGUAGGGGUGAAAUCUGUAGAUAUCUGGAAGAAUACCAAUGGCGAAGGCAGCCUGCCAGCAGAUGACUGACGCUGAGGUGCGAAGGUGCGGGGAGCAAACAGGAUUAGAUACCCUGGUA
rnacentral:rRNA from 1 species